GAAUUCAACUCCUACGGGAGGCAGCAGUGGGGAAUAUUGGACAAUGGGCGCAAGCCUGAUCCAGCCAUGCCGCGUGAGUGAUGAAGGCCCUAGGGUUGUAAAGCUCUUUCACCGGUGAAGAUAAUGACGGUAACCGGAGAAGAAGCCCCGGCUAACUUCGUGCCAGCAGCCGCGGUAAUACGAAGGGGGCUAGCGUUGUUCGGAAUUACUGGGCGUAAAGCGCACGUAGGCGGACAUUUAAGUCAGGGGUGAAAUCCCAGAGCUCAACUCUGGAACUGCCUUUGAUACUGGGUGUCUAGAGUAUGGAAGAGGUGAGUGGAAUUCCGAGUGUAGAGGUGAAAUUCGUAGAUAUUCGGAGGAACACCAGUGGCGAAGGCGGCUCACUGGUCCAUUACUGACGCUGAGGUGCGAAAGCGUGGGGAGCAAACAGGAUUAGAAACCCUAGUAGUCCAGGCGUU
rnacentral:rRNA from 1 species